GACGAACGCUGGCGGCGUGCUUAACACAUGCCAGUCGAACGAAAAGGCCCUGCUUUUGUGGGGUGCUCGAGUGGCGAACGGGUGAGUAACACGUGAGUAACCUGCCCUUGACUUUGGGAUAACUUCAGGAAACUGGGGCUAAUACCGGAUAGGAGCUCCUGCUGCAUGGUGGGGGUUGGAAAGUUUCGGCGGUUGGGGAUGGACUCGCGGCUUAUCAGCUUGUUGGUGGGGUAGUGGCUUACCAAGGCUUUGACGGGUAGCCGGCCUGAGAGGGUGACCGGCCACAUUGGGACUGAGAUACGGCCCAGACUCCUACGGGAGGCAGCAGUGGGGAAUAUUGCACAAUGGGCGGAAGCCUGGUGCAGCAACGCCGCGUGCGGGAUGACGGCCUUCGGGUUGUAAACCGCUUUCGCCUGUGACGAAGCGUGAGUGACGGUAAUGGGUAAAGAAGCACCGGCUAACUACGUG
rnacentral:rRNA from 1 species